AUGAUCCCUUCCGAUGAGCGAAGUUAAGCAACUUUGAACCUGUUAAGUCGUUAGAUGGGUGACCGCUUGGGAAUAUCAUGCGCUGUAAU